rnacentral:rRNA from 1 species
ACGGAGGGUGCAAGCGUUAUCCGGAUUCGCUGGGUUUAAAGGGUGCGUAGGUGGGCAGGAAAGUCAGUGGUGAAAUCUCCGGGCUUUACCCGGAAACUGCCGUUGAUACUAUUUGUCUUGAAUAUUGUGGAGGUAAGCGGAAUAUGUCAUGUAGCGGUGAAAUGCUUAGAUAUGACCUAGAACACCUAUUGCGAAGGCAGCAGGCUACACAUAAAUUGACGCUGAGGCUCGAAAGCGUGGGGAUCAAACAGGA